AAUGAACGUUAGCGGCGCGCCUGAUGCAUGCAAGUCGAACGCUCAAGUUAUCCGCAAGGAUGACAAGAGAGUGGCGAACGGCUGAGUAACGCGUGAGUAACCUACCUCCGAGUGGGGAAUAACUUGCCGAAAGGCAGGCUAAUUCCGCAUGUGCUGAUAAGCGAUAGUUUUUCAGUAAAGCUUUCGGGUGCUUGGAGAAGGGCUUGCGUCUGAUUAGCUAGUUGGUAGGGUAAUAGCCUACCAAGGCGAUGAUCAGUAGCUGGUCUUAGAGGACGACCAGCCAGACAGGGACUGAGACACGGCCCUGACUCCUACGGGUGGCAG
rnacentral:rRNA from 1 species